GACGAACGCUGGCGGCGUGCUUAACACAUGCAAGUCGAACGUGAUUUUUGUGGAAAUUCUUUCGGGAAUGGAAAUGAAAUGAAAGUGGCGAACGGGUGAGUAACACGUGAGCAACCUACCUUACACAGGGGGAUAGCCGUUGGAAACGACGAUUAAUACCGCAUGAGACCACAGAAUCGCAUGAUAUAGGGGUCAAAGAUUUAUCGGUGUAAGAAGGGCUCGCGUCUGAUUAGCUAGUUGGAAGGGUAAAGGCCUACCAAGGCGACGAUCAGUAGCCGGUCUGAGAGGAUGACCGGCCACAUUGGAACUGAGACACGGUCCAAACUCCUACGGGAGGCAGCAGUGGGGAAUAUUGCACAAUGGGGGGAACCCUGAUGCAGCGACGCCGCGUGAGCGAAGAAGGUUUUCGAAUCGUAAAGCUCUGUCCUAUGAGAAGAUAAUGACGGUAGCAUAGGAGGAAGCCCCGGCUAAAUACGUG
rnacentral:rRNA from 1 species